UCCUGGGGUGGACGUGGGUGAGAGGAGAACCCCACGGCCCCUGCCUCCUGGAGACCACGCGGUCACGGGGACUCAUCGUGGAUUUAAGGCACACAGGGCCCCAGGGGAGAAGGUGCAUGUGGGUUGACCCCAGGGCCUAUGGAAUCCUCUCAGCCUCAUCACUGGAUGCUGCCGUUGACAGGAGGACCCUGAAGGCCUCAGCUGCAGCUCUUGGCCACUUGGCCCCAGUGUGGACACUGUCUCUGCCCUGGAGAAUGUGGAGAGGACAAGAAGGAUCAGGCCCACGGCGGAUGGGAGCCCCAGCUCUCCACCAUGCUGUGGGGAGGGGUCAGCCUGGCAGGGUCUGCUGGGGAGCUGUGGCCAGGUGGGCUCCAAGCAGGGGACUGGGUGUGUGUGGCACCCCAGGGUGCUUUCCAUCUGAGUCUCCAGCGUAAGCAGCCCCGUGGUUAUACAAGUGACUGUGGUCCAUAAACAUUCCGGGAGGUGUAUCCGUCAGUCGGCAGUUCA
rnacentral:lncRNA from 1 species